rnacentral:rRNA from 1 species
CAUCCUACGGGGGGCAGCAGUGGGGAAUAUUGGGCAAUGGGCGCAAGCCUGACCCAGCAACGCCGCGCGAAGGAAGAAAGCUUUCGGGUUGUAAACUUCUUUUCUCAGGGACGAAGCAAGUGACGGUACCUGAGGAAUAAGCCACGGCUAACUACGUGCCAGCAGCCGCGGUAAUACGUAGGUGGCAAGCGUUAUCCGGAUUUACUGGGUGUAAAGGGCGUGUAGGCGGGAAAGCAAGUCAGAUGUGAAAACCAUGGGCUCAACCUGUGGCCUGCCUUUGACACUGUUUUUUGU